AUCCUUAGUACGGCGAGUGACCGGGAAGAGCUCAAAUUUGAAAUCUGGCGUCCUCAGGGCGUCCGAGUUGUAAUCUAUAGAGGCGUUUUCCGCGCCGGACCGUGUAUAAGUCUCCUGGAACGGAGUAUCAAAGAGGGUGACAAUCCCGUGCUUUACACGACGACCGGUGCUAUGUGAUACGUCUUCUACGAGUCGAGUUGUUUGGGAAUGCAGCUCAAAACGGGUGGUAAACUCCAUCUAAAGCUAAAUAUUGGUGGGAGACCGAUAGCGAACAAGUACCGUGAGGGAAAGAUGAAAAGCACUUUGGAAAGAGAGUUAAACAGUAUGUGAAAUUGUUGAAAGGGAAACGAUUGAAGUCAGUCGUGUCCAUUGGGUUCAGCCGGUCCUGCCGGUCUACUCCCUUUGGACGGGUCAACAUCAGUUUUGAUCGGCGGAUAAUGGCGUGAGGAACGUGGCACCCUCCGGGGUGUGUUAUAGCCUCGCGUCGCAUACGCUGGUCGAGACUGAGGAACGCAGCUCGCCUUUAUGGCCGGGGUUCGCCCACGUCCGAGCUUAGGAUGUUGACAUAAUGGCUUUAAACGACCCGUCUUAA
rnacentral:rRNA from 1 species